rnacentral:rRNA from 1 species
UGACCCUACGGGGGGCAGCAGUAGGGAAUUUUCGUCAAUGGGCGCAAGCCUGAACGAGCAAUGCCGCGUGAACGAGGAAGGUCUUCGGAUCGUAAAGUUCUGUUGAAGGGGAAAAAGAGCGGAGAGAGGAAAUGGUCUCCGAUUGAUAUUACCCUUCGAGGAAGUCACGGCUAACUACGUGCCAGCAGCCGCGGUAAUACGUAGGUGGCGAGCGUUAUCCGGAAUGAUUGGGCGUAAAGGGAACGCAGGCGGUCUUUUAAGUCUGAUGUGAAAGCCUUCGGCUUAACCGGGGUAGUGCAUUGGAA